rnacentral:rRNA from 1 species
AGAGUUUGAUCAUGGCUCAGGACGAACGCUGGCGGCGGGCUUCAUACAUGCAAGUCGAACGAGAAAGCGUCCUUCGGGGCGCGAGUACAGUGGCGCACGGGUGAGUAACGCGUAGGCAACCUGCCCUCAAGUGGGGAAUAACUAUCGGAAACGGUAGCUAAUACCGCAUGAAGUCCUGUGCUGCAUGGCACAGGAUGAAAGUAUUGGCGCUUGAGGAUGGGCCUGCGUCGGAUUACGCUGGUAGGUAGGGUAACGGCCUACCUAGGCUACGAUCCGUAGCUGGUCUGAGAGGACGACCAGUCACACUGGCACUGAGACACGGGCCAGACUUCUACGGGAGGCAGCAGUAGGGAAUCUUGGGCAAUGGGCGCAAGCCUGACCCAGCCACGCCGCGUGGAGGAAGACACCCCUAUGGGGCGUAAACUCCUUUUGUACGGGAAGAACGC